rnacentral:rRNA from 1 species
GAUGAACGCUGGCGGCGUGCUUAACACAUGCAAGUCGAACGGGAAACCUUGUAUUGAAGCUUCGGCAGAUUUAGCUGGUUUCUAGUGGCGGACGGGUGAGUAACGCGUGGGUAACCUGCCUUAUACAGGGGGAUAACAGUCAGAAAUGGCUGCUAAUACCGCAUAAGCGCACAGAGCUGCAUGGCUCAGUGUGAAAAACUCCGGUGGUAUAAGAUGGACCCGCGUUGGAUUAGCUGGUUGGUGGGGUAACGGCCCACCAAGGCGACGAUCCAUAGCCGGCCUGAGAGGGUGAACGGCCACAUUGGGACUGAGACACGGCCCAGACUCCUACGGGAGGCAGCAGUGGGGAAUAUUGCACAAUGGGCGAAACCCUGAUGCAGCGACGCCGCGUGAAGGAAGAAGUAUCUCGGUAUGUAAACUUCUAUCAGCAGGGAAGAUAAUGACGGUACCUGACUAAGAAGCCCCGGCUAACUACGUG